rnacentral:rRNA from 1 species
GGCCUUUUGAAUUUAAUUUAAGGUCUGACCUGCCCAGUGAUGAAUUUAACGGCCGCGGUAUAUUGACCGUGCAAAGGUAGCAUAAUCAUUAGUCUUUUAAUAGAGGGCUGGAAUGAAUGGUUUAACGAGGAACUAGCUGUCUCAUUUUAUUUGUUUUAGAAUUUAAUUUUUUAGUUAAAAAGCUAAAAUUUUAUUGGAAGACGAGAAGACCCUAUAGAUCUUUAUAUAAUUUUAUUUAUUUAUUUAUAUAUUAAUGUAAUUAUAUUUAAAUUAUAUUUUGUUGGGGUGACAAAAAUAUAUAAUUAACUUUUUCAUUUAUUUACCAUUCAUAUAUGAGUAUUAGAUCCAUUUUUAGUGAUUGUUAGAAUAAGUUACCUUAGGGAUAACAGCGUAAUCCUCCUCCAGAGUUCAUAUUUACAGGAGGGCUUGCGACCUCGAUGUUGGAUUAAGAUAAUAAUUAGGUGUAGCCGCUUAAUGUAUAGGUCUGUUCGACCUUUAAAUUCUU